rnacentral:lncRNA from 1 species
CUUUAGAAGGUAUUUUGUGACAAAGGGAAAAAGAAGUAUUACUGCAUGAUAAUCAGAUAACAGGAUUAGAGCAAAAUUAUUUAACUAUCUUAAAGUUUGAAAGAUUUUCUUUAUAUCCUCUACAGAAAAUGCAAUUGAUUGAUUUUUGUCGAGUCGGCGACUUUAUUCGCGGUAAGCUCGACAUAGGGAUAGUGAUCCGGCGGUAACUGAAGCGUCG